GGUCACUGCUAUUGGGGUUCGGCUAAGCCAUGCGAGCGGAGGGCGCGGUCGCAAGAUCGUGGCCCCGCACACGGCUCAGUAACACGUAGUCAACCUACCCUUGGGACGGGGACAACGCCGGGAAACUGGCGAUAAUCCCCGAUAGGUGAGGGAUGCUGGGAUGCUUCUUCGCUCAAAGCUCCGGCGCCCGAGGAUGGGACUGCGGCCUAUCAGGCUGUUGGUGGUGUGACGGACCACCAAACCUACGACGGGUACGGGCGAUGGGAGUCGGAGCCUGGAGAUGGGGACUGAGACAAGGCCCCAGGCCCUACGGGGCGCAGCAGGCGCGAAAACUCCGCAAUGCGCGCAAGCGUGACGGGGGAACCCCAAGUGCCGUUGGCUUUUGAUCGACGGCUUUUCGGAAGUCCAAUAAGCUUCCGGAAUAAGGGCUGGGUAAGACUGGUGCCAGCCGCCGCGGUAACACCAGCAGCCCAAGUGGUGGCCGCGAUAUUGGGCCUAAAGCGCUCGUAGCCGGAUCAGCAAGUCCUUUGUGAAAUCGGACCGCCCAACGGUUCGGCGUGCAAAGGAUACUGUUGGUCUUGAGACCGGGAGAGGUCGGAGGUACUCUUGGGGUAGCGGUGAAAUGCUGUAAUCCUGGGGGGACCACCAGUGGCGAAGGCGUCCGACCAGAACGGAUCUGACGGUGAGGGGCGAAGGCUAGGGGAGCGAACGGGAUUAGAUACCCCGGUAGUCCUAGCUGUAAAGCAUGCGGGCCAGGUGUCUAGCGCUCCUUGAGGGCGCUAUGUGCCGGAGGGAAGCCGUUAAGCCCGCCGCCUGGGAAGUACGGCCGCAAGGCUGAAACUUAAAGAAAUUGGCGGGGGAGCACCACAAGGGGUUGAUCCUGCCGGA
rnacentral:rRNA from 1 species